UACGAAGGGGGCUAGCGUUGUUCGGAUUUACUGGGCGUAAAGCGCACGUAGGCGGAUCUUUAAGUCAGAGGUGAAAUCCCAAGGCUCAACCUUGGAACUGCCUUUGAUACUGGGGAUCUCGAGUUCGGGAGAGGUGAGUGGAACUGCGAGUGUAGAGGUGAAAUUCGUAGAUAUUCGCAAGAACACCAGUGGCGAAGGCGGCUCACUAGCCCGAUACUGACGCUGAGGUGCGAAAGCGUGGGGAGCAAACAGG
rnacentral:rRNA from 1 species